UAUGACUUCGAUGUCUCCCAGCCCAAGGUGCAGUGCUGCAUCUCUGGUCAGUUGUGAGUCUGAGAUGAAGCACUGUAGCUCAGGAAGGGAGAAACAAAGCUACGGA
rnacentral:pre_miRNA from 11 species